rnacentral:lncRNA from 1 species
GUGUCACUCACCUGAUUCGGUGGAGGAUGAUCCGCGCUGUAAGGCUUCACUCGCCGAGAUCCUUUGGGAUUCUCGCAAGGGCCCGUGAUUUGGAGCACCCACGAGGUCACCCUCUCCUCAGUCACGCCCACCACGUUGGUCCGAGUGGAAUCUUCGGGCCCCGUGUAAUGCCACAUGGCAUGGUCGCGAGCCUGCAGAGGCUGGAUCCGCCGACCAAGGAAGACCUCCAGCA